rnacentral:rRNA from 1 species
GAUGAACGCUGGCGGCGUGCCUAAUACAUGCAAGUCGAGCGAACAGACGAGGAGCUUGCUCCUCUGACGUUAGCGGCGGACGGGUGAGUAACACGUGGAUAACCUACCUAUGAGACUGGGAUAACUUCGGGAAACCGGAGCUAAUACCGGAUAAUAUAUUGAACCGCAUGGUUCAAUAGUGAAAGACGGUUUUGCUGUCACUUAUAGAUGGAUCCGCGCCGCAUUAGCUAGUUGGUAAGGUAACGGCUUACCAAGGCAACGAUGCGUAGCCGACCUGAGAGGGUGAUCGGCCACACUGGAACUGAGACACGGUCCAGACUCCUACGGGAGGCAGCAGUAGGGAAUCUUCCGCAAUGGGCGAAAGCUUGACGGAGCAACGCCGCGUGAGUGAUGAAGGUCUUCGGAUCGUAAAACUCUGUUAUUAGGGAAGAACAAAUGUGUAAGUAACUAAGCACGUCUUGACGGUACCUAAUCAGAAAGCCACGGCUAACUACGUG